UCCUCACAACCUAUUUUCUUUUCCACAGACAAUGUAGAGACAAAACCUGGGAUUUUUGAUCAGAUACCACAUCCAUAAUAGUCUUUCAUCAGUUCUUGCAGGGAGAGGAGUUUCUCUCUCCAUGCCAUGGAGACUUCUCCACAAGAAACAGUUCUCUUGUGGCUUCAAAUGUUACAGUGAAUCAGCUGCCCGGGAAAUAAAAAUCUGUUCACAGUGUGAAAGUCCCUCCCAUGCCUUGCAGCUUUCCCAAACACGCUUUCAUGAGCCGUGUCAAUUUAUGGGGUACUAUUUUAAGGAUGAAUUGUCCUAGCAUUUAAAAAAAAAAAAAAAUUAAGAAAAAAAUUCGUAUUUAAUCUCUGGGAGCAGAGGCUUUUCUUUUUCUAUCUCUGGGGCAAAGUUUCUCAUCUCUCUCUGAUCAAGCUUCUCAUUGGAUCCCAGCUUUUCAGCAGCCACUUGCUCCAGCAAGAAUGCCCUUUUGUCAUCAGCUGUGGGUGAAUGCUAUAUCCCCCCCAUGCACUUCAUGAAUUACAGGGAAAAAACAAAGUCUGAUAUAUCAAAAAUAUAUCAUCACCAUAGCCUUAACAAAGAGAAUGUCAGCACAAGACCAAGGCAUCCUCUCAAUCCCCACCUAACUAGAAUUUGACUCCUUCUUUACUGAUCUCAUUGUCCCAUGUUGUUUUUCUUUACAUGUCUUCACCCUUUCCUUUUCCUGAUUCAGGAAAGAAUUGUUGUUCGUAGGUUAAUUUGUUCUCAAGCUUUAUCAAUUGAAACAGUUUUUAUAGAGUUCUGCAGCGCUGAAAGGUUGAUCUCACCCAGGCUGUGUCUCUGACUGCUGCUCACGGGGUCUCUGCUGACACUGUGCGAGCCGUGCUGGCCGCCAGCUCCACUCAGCGCUUUUCUUCAUGAGGAACACUGGAAGAUAGAAAAGCUGCUGCUGCCAUUUUUGUUCUGCUGUCCUCAGAACUGAAAUAAAUUGGUCAGGAGACGGACUCCUGUUUUAUGCCUUUAUUAGGACUCGGCCUUCAGGUGGGGUUCCAAGGGGUCGCUUGCACCGCUGCUGCUCCCACCCUGGCAGCUCCAAGGAGGAGGCACAAUUCAGCUUUGCAGCACACACUGCAGAGCUGGGGCUUCCGUCCUCACGGGGCGAGCAAGGAGGCCUCUUGUUCUGGGUCAUUGGCCAGGAAGGUCACUCUUAGGUCAUGGCGACCACUUUUAAGCAGACUCAGGUGAUGCAGAAAGACGGUCUUCCAUCAUAGCUUGCUAGGAUAUGUCUCUUUGACCUUUUAUUCCCCUGUUAGCUCGUUGUUUCGGUGUCUGGCAUGCCUUAGUUUGCCUAUGACCCGGGCGCACAGUCCCCUGGGAGCAGCAGCAGUGGUUCCUGACGGGGAAGGGAAACAGGAGUGCAGGGAGCAGGAUUGUUAUAUAGAAACAGGGAAGUAAGGGAAAGGGGGUAGAGGUACAUCUUAUAAAAGAACUCUUAAAACACUUCAACAACCGAAAACAUGGAAGUUGGUGAUGCUGUACAGAAAUUGAGGCUACAUGCCAAACUCCUGCUCCUUGGACUAGUCUUCCAGCAGAAGUGAUUGAAAGAACAAAAAGAAGCCAAGAAUGUGUUCCACUCUAAAACAAAGUUCAAUGAGAAUGUUGCAGCAGUUGAAGCAUUCAAUAGAAAAAGGGAAAAGAAAAAGAAUAAUUUAUUGGGAAUUCCUGAAUCAUUCUUGACAAGGUGUUGUGAGGAAGGGCAACAAGAUAAGGGAUAUCUAAAUCACAGCAAUGAAGGAGAGAAAUAUUUAAUGUCCAUUUGGCAAUAAAGAGGUUUUUAUAAUUAUUUUGGCAGCCAGUUUUUGUGUUGCUAGUCCAACUUAAUGAACACCACAAUGAAAUUUAAAGUAAAUAACAGAAUGAUAUAAACAUUUCUAGUUAUUUAUUUAAAUUCAUUUUUGACAUUUACUAUAGAAGAAUAAAGAUUAUUUUCCUCAAAUUUGUUGAUUUCGAAAUUAAGAACAUCUUGGAUCAGUCUUACUUUGGACCAUCAAAAAUUUUGCAGAAGUAUUGCCCUGGCUAACGUGACUUCCUUCUGGCAUAAGACUCUGGGAGGAGCCUAAGUCUAACUUUACUAAGAAAUUUAAAGACUUUGAGAAAUAUCUAUGCACAUUCCUUUCCAAUUUUAAAGGCUGCCUUAAAACAGUAUCAUUUUUCCUAUAUCAGAAAGGAUGUUAAUACAAAAUAUUACUUGAAAGAUGCUAUUUUUAAAUGAUAGUCUAUAUUUUAAAGGCUGUAGUUCAUGUUUUAUUCCUGCUGCUCAGCCUCUGCAAGGUGACUUUCAUAGAUCUGACUUGGUUGAAAUGUUAUUCAUGUUCCAUAAGGCACUACAAAAUUGUAAGGGUUGCUUCCUUUGUAAUUUAAUAUUCUCUUCUGAUCUCUGUGUCAUUUUCUCAGAGUUAAUUAGCAAAAGAUUGGAAUGGGGAAUUCAUAGAAGUCUUUAUUAAAAUUAUGUUAAAGGGUUAGAAAAUUCAGUGGAGACUUCCUGAAGUGCACAGUAUUAGUGUACAGUAAAUAUAUUUUUCUAUCAGGUUUUCAUACUAAAAUUAUUCAUAUGUAGAACAUUGAUUAUCUGUAUGUUCAACUGGUAAAGCAAAAAAUUCUUUUGGGGUAGUACUUAGAUGGGAUCUGUAGUGAUCCUGUAGUAUGUUUUUAAGAUUCUUAAGCCUUAAUAUAUCACAUCAGUUUCAGGCAAAUUUUGUGGAAGGCUUUUGCUGUUCACAGUGACCAAAAACACAAAAGAAAAAAAAGAAAUAAAGAUGACAAUAUCAUCCCUAAGACAAUAUAGGGUGAAAGGAUCCAGUCUACAGUUCUCAAUUUCUGUACUCCAUAGAUAAUCCAGUGAUAUGUGCCUGUUCUUCUGAAUUUUGAGUAAGAUGGAAUCUCUCAAAUAACCACUAAUUAGAACUGAGAGAAACUUACACUAUUAGAAUAUGGCAUUCUUCCCUUCACCCAUUUUUUUUUUUUCCCAACAA